ensembl:snoRNA Gm24338 predicted gene, 24338
UUCUUCGUCACAGAAGAUCAUCUUCAUGUUUAUUGACAAAACUACCAUCAUUCAAUUGGUAUCAGAUUCUGACAUGCAAAAGUAGCAUUU